UACGGGGGGAGCAAGCGUUGUUCGGAUUUACUGGGCGUAAAGGGCGCGUAGGCGGCGUGACAAGUCACUUGUGAAAUCUCUGAGCUUAACUCAGAACGGCCAAGUGAAACUGUUGUGCUAGAGUGCAGAAGGGGCAAUCGGAAUUCUUGGUGUAGCGGUGAAAUGCGUAGAUAUCAGGAGGAACACCGGUGGCGAAGGCGCACAUCUGGCCCGAUACUGACGCUGAGGCGCGAAAGCUAGGGGAGCGAACGGG
rnacentral:rRNA from 1 species